GCGACCGUAGCUUAAGGGUAAAGCACCGGACUGUGGCUCCGGGUAUUGGGAGUUCAAAUCUCCCCGGUUGCC
rnacentral:tRNA from 1 species